rnacentral:lncRNA from 1 species
GACUAUGCAUCUCUUUAAGCAGAGACCAAGACCAGAGUCAGCCCCAUCCCUCACCCCACCCCACUCCAAACAAACUUUAGAUAAUCUCUCACAUGGAUUUUCAUUUCUGCCCCCCACCAUCCCACCUGGUGGGGGGCGGGGGCGGGGGGAUCCCUCACCCCGGCCCAGCCCAGCCCAGCCCCACAUCGACAGCCCAAGAGGACAAAGGAAAGGAAGGCAGCAGGUCCGGAUAGAAUCUGCUCCAGACUCCUGCGACAACACAAGGUGUGGUGCAAAUGUUCAAUGCGAAUCUUCACAGUGGCCCAGAUGGAGGAUAAUUCCAUACAGAUGCAGAAGGAUUUGUUAACCUUCACCUAUCAGCUACGCAUCGAUGCUGAGGUGGAAGUAGUGGAGAUGGUUUAUGUUCUCCGACCGCGACACAACUGCCGGCACCCCGGCUGGAAACAUGAUCACCAUGUCCAAGAAGCUGCUGUGGGGCGCCACUACCAGGAUCUGCGCCUCCUUCACGUCCGCCUUACGACCUUUCACCUUAACCCAAUGGAAGCCCACGCAGAAGAACACUGCACGGCCCAGCAGCCACAGGAUCGGGUGGAACAGCCAGCGCCGCCAGCCUGAUAAGGGUUUGGAGCGUUCCUCCUGAGACAGGCCGGCCAAUCGCAGCACAGCGACGAUCCAAGCAGAGAUUAACAAGAUCCACGCCAGGAAGACCCGUAUGGGGAGCAGGGUGCAGCCCAGGAUGAUGCCCUGCAGGAUCAGAGGGGAAAAUUAGAGAUGCUUAAACAUAAUGCAGGGUUCAAUCAAGUGAAACACACACCACCAAACAUCAGAAACGGUUUCAUGGUCUAAAUCUAAAAAGAUGCCCUCUUUAGUUCUUUUCAUGGCAUCACAAAGCCUUAGUCAAUCUAAACUCAACCACUCAACACGGGACACAUCAAGCUCAGCUUGAUUUAAAGGUCAAGUUUAGGCGAAGUCAUUGUUUCAAACAAACAAACAUUAUUCCUGCUGAUUUAAGAAAAUAUAAGAUAUAUGAAUCGUAGUGUUUGUUUAUAUAAUGCUAAUGAGCCAUGUUUGCUUGGUGGAGCUGGUUAAAUGCUCUUCGGGUGAAACCUGCUUAAAGAUAACUAAGAGGCAAAGUGGAAAUCCAUCAGAAUGAUGGAAGGUUUUUCUUUUUUCUGUUUUUCAUUAAUAAUAAAGCGAGCGAGCGUGUGCGUGUGUGUAUUGCUUUUAUUAAUCCCUCAAAGCAGAAGAAGUAGAAACAAUGCUUCCAAUAUGGCAGCCUGAUUAAAGAGCCGGUGAGGCUUUAGUCUUUAACAUCCACAACAGACAGACCUCUACACGCUGCACACAGGGAAACCCUUGCUCUGAGUCUUCACCCACAGCAACACUUUCCUGUCAUCAUCUGUGCUGUGACUCCAUCAAGGCAAAGGGAAGCAACACGUAAACAUUUUCUCAAACUGCUGCGCUGAAACCGUUUCCAAAGAGCAUGCUGUGUGAGACGAUAAACCUCAUUUAACCUUUUAACCUGUGGCUUCCGGAACAAACUCAGGCGAGUCAGUCACUGCAAACACAUUUAUAGCAUCAAGUGUUUGUCAAAUUAAAAGGAUGUGUUUUUCUACAGCUAGGAUCAUUUUCUAUGUGCAGUAAAGUGCAUCAUCGGUGUUCAAUCAUACAUUUUGUAAUUGUUAUAAACAGAACAAAUGUUUUCUCAAUUCACUGCUUGAUUCUUAACUUGUUUAAAUGAAACAUGAUGAAAUGUCUGCAUUAUUUUUGAAAUGUCCUUGGCAGCGCAUGUGUCUGCAUUGUAAUUUACUAAUAAAACGUCCUGUGUGUACUUUGGUGUGUGAUUUAUAUUAUUUUAAAUGGUAAAUGACCUGCAUUUGUAUAGCGCUUUACUCAGUCCCUAAGGACCCCAAAGCGCUUUACACUACAUUCAGUCAUUCACACACUGGCAAGCUACAUUGUAGCCACAGCUGCCCUGGGGCGCACUGACAGAGGCGAGGCUGCCGGACACUGGCGCCACCGGGCCCUCUGACCACCACCAGUAGGCAAACGUGGGGUUAGUAUCUUGCCCGAGGAUAUUUGGUAUGCAGCCUGGGAUCGAACCACCGACCUUCUGAUUAUUGGCUGACCUGCUCUGCCACCUGAGCUACAGCCACCCCUAUAUUAUAUUUUAUUGCACAUAAAUCAGUAAUUUUAUUUUACAGUUACACACAGUCUUAUAUCUCUUCUUGCUGAUGUUGUUUCCAGUGUAAGUAACUUUAAAGUGGCUACAUGACAAAUUUUCUUAGGGAUUAAUAAAGUAUUUUGAUUCUGAUUAAUGUGUAGUAUUUAAUGAUUCAGUAAUGAAUGAACUUUGACCUUCUUGGAAAGCCUUUCACUUCAUUUGAAAAGCAGUGCUGUGUUAAGCUGCCUUGUUGGCUGUAAUAGUUUACAGAUGAAGCAUCUCCUCUCUUGUCACGUGCCAUUCAUUCUCAUUCCCUCUGCUUUACUGCUUCCAUGAUGUUAAGCUGAUUUUAAAUACUGAUCUGAUACUUCCUGGAGGUUUUUAUUGUAGGAAGACUCUUUCUGAUGAAACAUCAGCUGAACUUGUCAGAUCAGUGUGCUGAAAGGAAAAGGUAUAACAUCUUUUCUGACAUGCAGUGGAGCCCCGAGAGUCUGAGACCAAGGGUGGGAAACCUCCUCUUUAUUUAGGUUUGAAUUUAGUUUGACAAAGUUUAUUCUGAAAUGACAAUAUUGACUUAAAAUGUGAUGGAAAACUUUAAUCUGUUACAGUUUUUUUCUAUUGGUUUGGCGCAGUUUUCACAAGCAAUUGGUACAUUUCCAAAACUCUUAUUACUUAUAUCACAACAGAUCAUCAAAAGUGCACCUUUUUCAAACAUUUCAGCAUAUUUUCAAUUGUGUUAGUACAAUACACAUAAUGACAAAAUAUCCUUGACACUACACAAAAUAAGUGUUUCAUCUAAAUAAAUGUUUCGUUCACAGUUACUGCCUUUCAUAAUGUUAUCACUAUAAAAUUUUGGAUGUGCAUCUCUUAUUGGUCAGUUUAAUACAUUUGUCUGUCACUUCAUUCAG